UACAGAGGAGCCAAGCGUUGUCCGGAUUGACUGGGCGUAAAGCGUACGCAGGCGGUUUGGCGCGUGGGGUGUGAAAUCUGGCCGCUUAACGGCCAGGCGCCAUCCCAUACGGCCGGACUGGAGGCUGCAGAGGUCGAUGGAAUUGCCGGUGUAGUGGUGAAAUGCGUAGAGAUCGGCAGGAACACCCAGGGGGAAACCAGUCGACUGGGCAGCACCUGACGCUGAG
rnacentral:rRNA from 1 species